GGUUAAGCGACUAAGCGUACACGGUGGAUGCCCUGGCAGUCAGAGGCGAUGAAGGGCGUGCUAAUCUGCGAUAAGCGCCGGUAAGGUGAUAUGAACCGUUAUAACCGGCGAUACCCGAAUGGGGAAACCCAGUGUGACUCGUCACACUAUCAUUAACUGAAUCCAUAGGUUAAUGAGGCGAACCGGGGGAACUGAAACAUCUAAGUACCCCGAGGAAAAGAAAUCAACCGAGAUUCCCCCAGUAGCGGCGAGCGAACGGGGAGGAGCCCAGAGCCUGAAUCAGCAUGUGUGUUAGUGGAAGCGUCUGGAAAGGCGCGCGAUACAGGGUGACAGCCCCGUACACAAAAGCGCAUGUGCUGUGAGCUCGAUGAGUAGGGCGGGACACGUGGUAUCCUGUCUGAAUAUGGGGGGACCAUCCUCCAAGGCUAAAUACUCCUGACUGACCGAUAGUGAACCAGUACCGUGAGGGAAAGGCGAAAAGAACCCCGGCGAGGGGAGUGAAAAAGAACCUGAAACCGUGUACGUACAAGCAGUGGGAGCACAGGUUUACCUGUGUGACUGCGUACCUUUUGUAUAAUGGGUCAGCGACUUAUAUUCUGUAGCAAGGUUAACCGAAUAGGGGAGCCGCAGGGAAACCGAGUCUUAAUUGGGCGUUAAGUUGCAGGGUAUAGACCCGAAACCCGGUGAUCUAGCCAUGGGCAGGUUGAAGGUUGGGUAACACUAACUGGAGGACCGAACCGACUAAUGUUGAAAAAUUAGCGGAUGACCUGUGGCUGGGGGUGAAAGGCCAAUCAAACCGGGAGAUAGCUGGUUCUCCCCGAAAGCUAUUUAGGUAGCGCCUCGUGAAUUCAUCUCCGGGGGUAGAGCACUGUUUCGGCUAGAGGGCCAUCCCGGCUUACCAACCCGAUGCAAACUGCGAAUACCGGAGAAUGUUAUCACGGGAGACACACGGCGGGUGCUAACGUCCGUCGUGAAGAGGGAAACAACCCAGACCGCCAGCUAAGGUCCCAAAGUCAUGGUUAAGUGGGAAACGAUGUGGGAAGGCCCAGACAGCCAGGAUGUUGGCUUAGAAGCAGCCAUCAUUUAAAGAAAGCGUAAUAGCUCACUGGUCGAGUCGGCCUGCGCGGAAGAUGUAACGGGGCUAAACCAUGCACCGAAGCUGCGGCAGCGACGCUGAUGCGUUGUUGGGUAGGGGAGCGUUCUGUAAGCCUGUGAAGGUGUGUCGUGAGGCAUGCUGGAGGUAUCAGAAGUGCGAAUGCUGACAUAAGUAACGAUAAAGCGGGUGAAAAGCCCGCUCGCCGGAAGACCAAGGGUUCCUGUCCAACGUUAAUCGGGGCAGGGUGAGUCGACCCCUAAGGCGAGGCCGAAAGGCGUAGUCGAUGGGAAACGGGUUAAUAUUCCCGUACUUGGUGUUACUGCGAAGGGGGGACGGAGAAGGCUAUGUUGGCCGGGCGACGGUUGUCCCGGUUUAAGCGUGUAGGUGUGUGUUCCAGGUAAAUCCGGUUCACUUUAACACUGAGGCGUGAUGACGAGGCACUACGGUGCUGAAGCAACAAAUGCCCUGCUUCCAGGAAAAGCCUCUAAGCAUCAGGUAACAUCAAAUCGUACCCCAAACCGACACAGGUGGUCAGGUAGAGAAUACCAAGGCGCUUGAGAGAACUCGGGUGAAGGAACUAGGCAAAAUGGUGCCGUAACUUCGGGAGAAGGCACGCUGACACGUAGGUGAAGUGAUUUACUCACGGAGCUGAAGUCAGUCGAAGAUACCAGCUGGCUGCAACUGUUUAUUAAAAACACAGCACUGUGCAAACACGAAAGUGGACGUAUACGGUGUGACGCCUGCCCGGUGCCGGAAGGUUAAUUGAUGGGGUCAGCGCAAGCGAAGCUCCUGAUCGAAGCCCCGGUAAACGGCGGCCGUAACUAUAACGGUCCUAAGGUAGCGAAAUUCCUUGUCGGGUAAGUUCCGACCUGCACGAAUGGCGUAAUGAUGGCCAGGCUGUCUCCACCCGAGACUCAGUGAAAUUGAACUCGCUGUGAAGAUGCAGUGUACCCGCGGCAAGACGGAAAGACCCCGUGAACCUUUACUAUAGCUUGACACUGAACAUUGAGCCUUGAUGUGUAGGAUAGGUGGGAGGCUUUGAAGUGUGGACGCCAGUCUGCAUGGAGCCGACCUUGAAAUACCACCCUUUAAUGUUUGAUGUUCUAACGUGGACCCGUAAUCCGGGUUGCGGACAGUGUCUGGUGGGUAGUUUGACUGGGGCGGUCUCCUCCUAAAGAGUAACGGAGGAGCACGAAGGUUGGCUAAUCCUGGUCGGACAUCAGGAGGUUAGUGCAAUGGCAUAAGCCAGCUUGACUGCGAGCGUGACGGCGCGAGCAGGUGCGAAAGCAGGUCAUAGUGAUCCGGUGGUUCUGAAUGGAAGGGCCAUCGCUCAACGGAUAAAAGGUACUCCGGGGAUAACAGGCUGAUACCGCCCAAGAGUUCAUAUCGACGGCGGUGUUUGGCACCUCGAUGUCGGCUCAUCACAUCCUGGGGCUGAAGUAGGUCCCAAGGGUAUGGCUGUUCGCCAUUUAAAGUGGUACGCGAGCUGGGUUUAGAACGUCGUGAGACAGUUCGGUCCCUAUCUGCCGUGGGCGCUGGAGAACUGAGGGGGGCUGCUCCUAGUACGAGAGGACCGGAGUGGACGCAUCACUGGUGUUCGGGUUGUCAUGCCAAUGGCACUGCCCGGUAGCUAAAUGCGGAAGAGAUAAGUGCUGAAAGCAUCUAAGCACGAAACUUGCCCCGAGAUGAGUUCUCCCUGAGACUUAGAGUCUCCUGAAGGAACGUUGAAGACGACGACGUUGAUAGGCCGGGUGUGUAAGCGCAGCGAUGCGUUGAGCUAACCGGUACUAAUGAACCGUGAGGCUUAACCUU
rnacentral:rRNA from 1 species